ensembl:lncRNA
UACUUCUGAAAAUCAGAAGAGUGAGGAUGGAACAAAGUCUUCAGAAAGGAAAACCAUUUGCUUGUUUAGAUUUCAUUCAUUCAUUAAUUACUCAAAUAUUUACAGUGCCAAGCUCCUACUGUGUGCCAAGCCCUGAUCUGUGUCAACAGGGAACAAAACACACAAAUUCCAACUCCUGCCUUCCUGGAUCAGUCCUUUGGGCAGGAGGUCCUAGAUAACAGACCUAAUAAAUAAGCAAGCAACCUAGGAGGUUAGAAGUUGAUACCUUCUAUGGAGUAAAAUAGGAAAAUGAAACAGGGUAAGAGGGAAGACAGACAGAGACAAAAGGGAGGAAGAGAGAGAUCCACACAUUAUUUUUAAAUAUACCUUAUUGAGACAGGGUCUCUCUCUGUCACCCAGGCUGGAGAGCAGUGGCACCAUCGUAGUUCACUGCAGCUUGGAACUCCUGGGCUCAAGCGAAGCUCUCACCUUAGCCUUCGAGUAGCUGGGGCCACAGGUGUGUGCCAUCAUGCCCAGCUAUUUAAAAAAAUUUUUUUGUAAUAUAUAAUGUCUCAUUUUUUGCCCAGGCUGGUUUUGAACUCCCAGCCUCAAGCCAUCCUCCUGCCUUGGCCUUUCAAAGUGCUGGAUUAUAGGCAUGAGCCACUGUGCACAGCCGAGACACAGUUUUACAUGGUGUCUUCAGUGGUCAGGAAGCCUCCUGGAGAAAACGACAUUUGAACAAAGACACGAAGAAAGUGGAGAAUAUUUGGGGAAGAGCAUUUCAGGCAGAGGAAGCUGCCAGGGCAGAGGCCCGAGGAUAUGCAACUUCCUCGUGGACACAAAAUGGCUGCUGCAGCUCCAGGCCACACAUCCACCUUCUGUGUAGACAGAAGUCACUGGGAAAGGCAAGAAGAAAACGAUUCUCCCCUAACAAGAACCUCUCCAGUUUCAGCUUUCUUUGUGGGGCAGUGGAGCGGCAGCGUUCAGUAUUCAGAGAACCCACAGUCACACUCCGCUUAGAGAAGGUUGGCCUCUGGGGAUGUCUUUUGAUCAUCUCUACUCAAUGUGACCAUCUUAAGGCAGGAGGAAGCAACAGAAAGCAGGGAAGCAGGUGCCCCAGCAGGAGCCCAGUGCCAUGGAAAGAUGAGAAAAGAGGUAGCGAAUGAGACCCCGGAUUCUUAGGAACUUUCUCUACUCCGCUGGUGCAGAUGAUGGAGGGUUUGAGGAGUGUCAGUGAAUGCUCUGUGUGGACUGGACUGGGACCAGACUGGGACUGGAACUCUCUUGGUGGGGGACAACUUUGACCAAGACAUCUUUAGGGUCUGCCAAGUCCUCAGCAGGGGUUUUAUGAUGUGCCUUGAGAUUCCCAAAUGAGAAGGGCAGUGGGAUUCUUCCCUCUGCAGCCAGGACCACAUCUGUGCUUUUUCGUAAUUGUGGAGGGGGAGAAACAAAGGUCUUCCAAAAUUUUCUGAUGGAAUAUAUGCUCAGAGCCCUAAAAAAGAAAAAGAAAUGAGUAGAAGGAGAACAAAAAUGAUCUGGAGUUCCAGUCCCCGCAAAUGAGCAUGGUUAACAUUUCUUCUAGACUUCUAAUGUAUUCAGACACAUGCACUUUCCGCCCCCAUACUGUACAUAUUGUCUCUUAAUCUGCAUCUUUUUCACUUAAAAUAUGUCAUGCACACCUCGGCAUGUCAAUAAAUAUAGAAGAAUGUCGUCCCUUUUAAAGUUCGCAUAGUCCACGGUUGUGCCAGAAUUUAUUUACGAACCUCCUCUGCUUGGGGGUUGCAGGUUGGUUUAAACUUUUGUCCGAUUCUUAGCCCUCUUCUGUUGCUUGCCCUUGUAUCUAUUUUAUCUGACUCCCGUUUUUUUCUUAAUUCCUAAUAGUGCAACUGGGGGGUCAUGGAACUUUUUAAAAAAGAUUUGAUGCACAGAACAAAACUGCCUUCCAGAAAGAGGCUCAUUUACACGCUCAACAGCUAUAUAUGAUAUUAUCCCACACACCACUAAAACUGCUCACUAGAGAGAUUGGAUAUAUUUCCAAAUUGCUUUUUAGCCAUUUUUAUUUCUCCUCCUCAUCCUAAUUCUUAUUUUGCAUUGCAUGCUUCUAUCUUUGCCUAUGUUUUUAAAAACUGGCAAUAUAUAGCUGUUAUUUUUUGCAAAUAUUUUUCCAGUGUUCUAUUUGUCUUCAAAUGAUCUUGUUUAUUGUGGUAAAAUACACAUAAAAUUUACCCUUUUAGCCAUUUUUAAGAGUCCAGUUCAGGCCACGUGUGGUGGCUCAUGCCUGUAAUCCCAGAACUUUGGGAGACCGAGGCAGGUGGAUCACCUGAAGUCAGGAGUUCGAGACCAGCCUGGCCAACAUGGUGAAACUCUGUCUCUACUAAAAAUACAAAAAAAAAAAAAAAAAAAAAAAAGAAUAGCUGGGCUUGGUGGUGCACACCUGUAAUCCCAGCUACUUGGGAGGCUGAGGCACAAGAAUUCCUUAAACCUGGAAGGUGGAGGUUGCAGUGAUCUGAGAUCAAGACACUGCACUCCAUCCUGGGCGACAGAGUGAGACUGUCUCAAAAGAAAUGAAAAGAGUCCAGUUCAGUGCCAUUAAGUACAUUCGCAUUGCCGUGCAACCAUCACCACACCCAUGUCCAAAAUAUCUGCAUCACCCAAAUUUGAAACCGUGAACUCAUUAAAUAGUAACUCCCCAUUCUCCCUCCCCCAGCCCUGGUAGCUCUUAUUCUACUUUCUGUCUCUAUAAUUACUCCAGGAACCUGAAAUAAAUGAAAUCUUACAAUAUUUAUCUUUUUUAUGUGUCUGGCUUAUCUCACUGAGCAUGAUGUCUUCAAGUGUCAUUCAUGUUGUAGCUUAUGUCAGAACCUCCUUUCUUUUUAAGGUUGAAUAAUAUUCCAUUGUGUGAAUAGACCACAUCUAUUAAUAUUUUUCUUACUGCUUUGGCUCUGGGUUCCUUUCUACAUUAUUUUAAGAGAUAUCUAGGUAAAGUUUCUAUUUAUUCAUUACUGUGUAACAAUUUACCCCAUAACUUAAUGGCUUGAAAUAAAAAUCACUUGUUUUGCUCGUGAAUCAGCAAUUUGGGCAGGACUUAGUGGGCUCAGCUUGUCUCCGUUGCAUUGAGGUUUCAGCUGAGGCAGCUCAAUGCAAGUGGGAAGAUCUACUUCCAAGAUAGCUCACUCACAUGGCAUCUUGGCGCUAACCAUUGGUUAGGAGCUCAGAUAGAGAACUCUGGUUUCUCUCCAUCUGGGUGUCUUCAGAGGCUACUUGGGCUUCCUCACAGCAUGGUG